UUUGUACUCCCUCCGUCCGGAAAUACUUGUCAUCAAAAUGAAUAAAAGGGGAUGUAUCUAGAUGUAUAUUAGUUCUAGAUACAUCUUUUUUAUCCAUUUUGAUGACAAGUAUUUUCGGACGGAGGGAGUAGCUA
rnacentral:pre_miRNA from 1 species